CCUACGGUGGCUGCAGUGGGGAAUAUUGGACAAUGGGCGAAAGCCUGAUCCAGCCAUGCCGCGUGUGUGAAGAAGGCCUUCGGGUUGUAAAGCACUUUCAGUGGGGAAGAAAGCCUUGGGGCUAAUACCCUCGAGGAAGGACAUCACCCACAGAAGAAGCACCGGCUAACUCCGUGCCAGCAGCCGCGGUAAUACAGGAGGGUGCGAGCGUUAAUCGGAAUUACUGGGCGUAAAGCGCGCGUAGGCGGUCUGAUAAGCCGGUUGUGAAAGCCCCGGGCUCAACCUGGGAACGGCAUCCGGAACUGUCAGGCUAGAGUGCAGGAGAGGAAGGUAGAAUUCCCGGUGUAGCGGUGAAAUGCGUAGAGAUCGGGAGGAAUACCAGUGGCGAAGGCGGCCUUCUGGACUGACACUGACGCUGAGGUGCGAAAGCGUGGGUAGCAAACAGGAUUAGAUACCCGAGUAGUC
rnacentral:rRNA from 1 species